CUCGAAAAUGUUAAAGUUCUUAUUUCAUGGUAUAACUUUGGUAUGCUUGGACCUAGAGUCUUCAAACUUGACAUGAAGGUUGGCCAGGAUUAACAGAUGACCACUGGUCAUUUCAAGGUCAUUCAUUUGAAGGUCAAGGUCACUGUGACCUUGAAUGUUAAAAUGUUAAAGUUCUUAUUUCAUGGUAUAACUUUGGUAUGCUUGGACCUAGAGUCUUCAAACUUGACAUGAAGGUUGGCCAGGAUUAACAGAUGACCACUGGUCAUUUCAAGGUCAUUCAUUUGAAGGUGAAGGUCACUGUGACCUUCAAUAUAAAAAUGUUAAAGUUGUUAUAACUUUGGUAUGCUUGGACCUAGAGUCUUGAAACUUGACAUGAAGGUUGGCCAGAACUAGUAAGUAACCACUGGACAUUUCAAGGUCAUUCAUUUGAAGGUCAAGGUCACUGUGACCUUGAAUGUAAAAAUGUUAAAGUUGUUAUAACUUUGGUAUGCUUGGACCUAGAGUCUUGAAACUUGACAUGAAGGUUGGCCAGAACUAGUAAGUAACCACUGGACAUUUCAAGGUCAUUCAUUUGAAGGUCAAGGUCACUGUGACCUUGAAUGUAAAAAUGUUAAAGUUCUUAUUUCAUGUUAUAACUUUGGUAUGCUUGUACCUAGAGUCUUCAAACUUGAAAUAAAGAUUGGCCAGUACUAGAAGAUGACCACUGGUCAUUUCAAUGUCAUUCAUUUGAAGGUCAAGGUCACUGUGACCUUAAAUGUUAAAAUGUUAAAAUUGUUAUAACUUUGGUAUGCUUGGACAUAGAGUCUUCAAACUUGACAUGAAGGUUUGCAAGCACACUUAGAUGACCACUGGUCAUUUCAAGGUCAUUCAUUCUAAGGUCAAGGUCACUGUGACCUUGAAUGUAAAAAUGUUAAAGUUCUUAUAACUGGUGUGAUAGAAACCUUUUGGAGUGAUCAUAAGGCUGUCUGGAUUUCUGUGUAGGUAUGUGAAAGCAAAACAAUAAAUAGUAUUAUUUCAUCUAAGUUUAUUUUCUUACAUUUGAUAAUGAAAUUGAUGGAAACUUCAAACAAUAUCUUACUAAUUUGCUAAUAAAAAAAUUGAGAUCAAACUUU